UUCAAGAUGGUGGAAUGGCAAUUGAUGGUGAGAUUCCAGGACUUGAUUAGUGAUGAGACUGCCAUUUGCUGUUCAGGACAUUCCAUCACAGUUCAUACUCGUGGAAGUGCAUGAGAACCGGGACAAGCACCACUCUGUAGACUCCAGAGGUUUCACUUUGGACCAGGCAAACUAUAUUGACACUUUAACUUCUAGUCUUCCAGACAAACCCCAGCUGCCUCUUUUACUCAGAGAUCUGGCCUGAGAUGAUUGGACCAAGAACAAACACCUGCCCCAGUGGGGAGCCCAUUUAUAAACCAGCUGAGCUAAUCUUCCUCCCAAGAGCAUUUAUGUUUGGAGAAAGAGAGACUGAGUCAGCCUGCUGAUGGAUGGUGAUGGACCAAAUAAAGGUCAUAUGGAGUCAGGGUUGGAGUCAGUCCAUAAACAAGUUGAAGUCAUGUGGGGGUAGACCAUGGGAAGCAGGAGAAACUGCUCUGUGCAGACAAAUGGGAGAAUAGAGCUAAGGCCAGAGAGAUCCGGGGCAUGCAAGAAUGAGAGAAGAGCCCCAGUUCAGAAAACCACCUGGCCGGAUGUCACCUGGUUUUCUGGCCCUGGAUGCCUGCGAGACUGCUUGUUAUCCAUUGUAUUAAGCUCUCUAGGUGGGUUUCUCUCACCUACAACCCAAGUGAUUCCAGACUAAGACAACUUCAUGCACCAAAUGGCAAAUACAGGCUAUCAAAUAGUUCCCUACCUCUUCAGUAUCUCCACCAAGUCACCCAGACUGCAGAGGUCUAUGGUGCAACAUAGGGAUACAUGGAGGAAUAGGCAAGAUGGAGGAAAUGAGUAUACAGGACAUUGUCCAUAUGUUUUACAGUUUAUAAAUGCCCAACUCGCAAUUUGUCAUUUUCUGUUAGCUUUUUCCAUGUGUCUUUUUCACCUGCAAUCUUGUGGGCCAAUCAGUACGUUCUGCCCAGAUCAGGGUUCAACGCCCACAACAUGUCACUGCCAAGUCAUGGGCCCAUGUCUUGAGUGUCACAUUCCAGCAGGGCACUCUCCUCCUCUGCUUUAGAAAGGUGAUGCUGAAAUAGAGUUUUAUUUAUUCGAUACAUAUUUACUGGCUGCCUGCUAUAGCUAGACACUGUGCAAGGUGCCAAGGAUACGGCAAUGAGCUAAUGGCAUAUGUCUUACUUGCAUGGACUUAUAUUGGUGGGGAGGGAGUACACUUGCAAUGAACACUAUGAAAAGCAUAAGCAGGAUGAUUUGUGAUGGUAGGGGUCAAUGAGGAUCCUACUUAGAUGGGUUGGUUAAGAAAGGCCUCUCGAGGAUGAGAAAGAGCCAAUCAUGAACAAAUUUUAAAAUAGAAGAAAUGACACACACAAAGACCCUUCCACAGGAAAGAGCUUGGUGACAUCAAGGGAUUGAGAGAAGUCAGAGAAGGCAGAGCGGUUGGAUCAUGUGGUCUCUCUGAUACACACCCCUUUGGUGCCUGCUGUCCCACACAGUUUUCCUUUUUGCCUGAGGUAUUAGCCUUAUCUGGAUAUUUGUCCCCAUGUCUGUUGGUUGGACCUGCACAAUCUCUCUCCUGUUCCACCUCUCCUUUCCUGUCCUGCAGCUGCUGGUCUGCUCAGGCUUCCUCCUCACUCACCUGAUCUCUGCAACUACCUU